rnacentral:lncRNA from 1 species
GGAGAGAAGGGAACAUCAAAUUUGCACCAACAUACAAGUAUUCUUCAUCAAAUUGCAAUCGUUACUCGGGUGGCCUUCCCAACAGAUCAGGAGAGAAACAAAGGACUCCAGCAUGGUAUAUGUUUUGCAAUCAACUACCUGUUACAGAAUUGAUUUCUUAUCACUACUACAAUAGACAAUCAGGCACAUCGUCACCAUAUAUAAACUAUUUCCAAGUUUUUUCAUAUACGUCCGAAUAUGUCGAAAGAAUGCCUGCUAGACAUAGGUGCUAGACAUGAAUGGUUAAGAAAAAUGAAGAGUUCUUGUAACAUAAUAUAUAAGACCUGGAUUUAUGAUAAGCUUACUAGCAUGAUCGAUGUAUGUGUCUGGUCGCAGGUGUGAUAGAAUUCUGUGGUAUGGAAAAGGAGUGAAACUUUUAUCUUACUUUCGCAGUGAAAGUAAGUUUUCUGAUCAUCGGCCUGUCUCUGCCCAAUUCUCAACACAGAUAGAAGUCAUGAAAUCCACCAAUUCAAGAUUUCUAGACAAGGAAACCAAUUUUCAUAAUAUUAUGCCUCCAGAACAGAUUGUAAGUUCUCCUCAUUCUUACCAUAGAAUGACAUUCUAUGUCUUCCUACAUAGUAACACUAAUGCAUGCAUACUUCAGUAAGUUUUGAAUUAAGUUUGGCAAAUCUGCAUAUAACAUCAUGCAUGAUAGAUAGUGUUUUCAUUGCAGGGACCAAGCAUAAACAAAGAAGAAGGCAAACCUACAUUACUAUCUUUGAUUGUAAAGGAUACAGAAUCAUCUUCAACACAUAUGCAAGUAGAUACAAAUUAUUAAAGCAGAUUUGGCAGGCCUACAGCUAAAUUGUUUAACUAUAGGUCGGCUUUGAGGAGGCAUCAUUAUUUCGUAAUCUUCUUUCAUCUCUUACUUUUUGUCAGACAUGGUUAUAUGAAUUGGCUAUGAGUUGGAUGUAGAGAUGUAACCUAGUGCUUAUAAUACUAUAAAUGCAAAGAGAAGUUCCUAAUGAAUUGAUAAUUGAAUAAGAACUGCGACACAUCAAACCUCUUAUUCAGUAAAAUGAGAGAUUUUUGAAAGAGAAUAUUAAAGGUUCGAACAUUGCAAUCAUUCUCAGAUUUUGUCAAUAAGUAGCUGAAAUAGUUAUAUAUGAAAUUUUGUCAUGUAAAAAUGAGUUCAAAAAUGGCAUAAUCUUUCGCACCUUGUGCACUAACGAAUAGCAGAUACUAUGCCUUCAUCCCUUAUCUUGACUUUAUCAUAAAUGUUUAGUCCAAAAGUUGGUGUGCAAGUAAAAUUCAGAAAUAUCAACACCAUGGUUGCAAUGUUGGCAUGUCAAAGACUUACAACAGAUCAAUUUGCAUCAUUUGCUUGAAGAAUUCCACCCAAUUUCUCCACAUUAACUGAUUGACAACUGGGACAUAUACACCUCUUCUGCAACUCUUCACUGAAGGAAGCACAUGUCGUGUUCAGUUCAGAAGUCUGCUUGUUUCCAGUCAAGGAGGUAUUUGCAAGUAAUAGUUUUCAUCCACAGAAGAUGUUAAUGAAAAAGAUUAUAAAAGCCCGCAUAACUAUUCAAAUAUACUUCGCCUAACCUUGCUUGUAUUUAGAUUUAUAAAAUCUAUAUUUCCAGCAUUG